rnacentral:rRNA from 1 species
CCUACGGGUGGCUGCAGCAAGGAAUUUUCGUCAAUGGGCGCAAGCCUGAACGAGCAACGCCGCGUGCAGGAUGACGGCCUUCGGGUUGUAAACUGCUUUUGCGAGGGAAGAAGAGGACGGUACCUCGCGAAUCAGCCCCGGCUAACUCUGUGCCAGCAGCCGCGGUAAUACAGAGGGGGCAAGCGUUGUCCGGAUUGACUGGGCGUAAAGGGUCCGUAGGCGGUGUGGUAGGUGGGGUGUGACAUCUGUCGGCUUAACCGGCAGCGGCCGCUCCA